AAAAGAAACAAUGAAACAAAGAAGAAAAGAAACAGAGAAAGAGACGAAAAACAGGGGAAGAAAAAGGGAAAGAAAAUAAAAAGGGGAAAUUGAGAUUUUAAAGCUUCAAGUUAAUUGCUAACAAGGAACUCGAAGCAUCGGCACACAAAGGAAAGGAGAAGGUUAUUGAGGAAUAAUCGAGUAAAUUCGGGUCGAUAGAAGUUAAAGGUCCCGGUUCAGCGUCCAGAUCAAUCCCGACUUCAGCAUAAUUUUGGUGAUGUAUAUUUCUUUUGAUAAUGUGGCAUGUACAUAGGAUGUGUAUAAAGG